CAGCCGCCGCGGGAAUACGUAGGUGGCAAGCGUUGUCCGGAAUUAUUGGGCGUAAAGGGCUCGCAGGCGGUUUCUUAAGUCUGAUGUGAAAGCCCCCGGCUCAGCCGGGGAGGGUCAUUGGAAACUGGGAAACUUGAGUGCAGAAGAGGAGAGUGGAAUUCCACGUGUAGCGGUGAAAUGCGUAGAGAUGUGGAGGAACACCAGUGGCGAAGGCGACUCUCUGGUCUGUAACUGACGCUGAGGAGCGAAAGCGUGGGGAGCGAACAGGAUUAGAUACCCCUGUAGUCCCUGUCUCUUAUAC
rnacentral:rRNA from 1 species